GCAUUCGUUGAGAGUGCAAGAGCAAAAGACUCAGAGAAAAUUAGCCCCUGGCAGCCACUGUAAGGGGAAGUGCUGCUGCUUGGAAGGGAGGGGGGAGGAGCUCAGUUGGAGCGACGCCAUUAAUGGGAGACGGACUGCCUUCCUUCGUCUCUCGCUGUGAUGAUUGAAUAAACUCAUUAAGUUUCCAAUCAACAUCCUCAUAGUGACCAUGACACAAUCUAUCCAAAAUGAAACGAGUUCGAACAGACAUGGGGAAUUGCUCCCACUAGGAGAUUACAAGCAGUCUUCAGAGCUCUCGCCUAAUCCUCACAUAGUGG